GUCCACGCCGUAAACGAUGAAUACUAGGUGUUGGGUCGUAAGAUUCAGUGCCGCAGCUAACGCAUUAAGUAUUCCACCUGGGAAGUACGAUCGCAAGGUUGAAACUCAAAGGAAUUGACGGGGGCCCGCACAAGCAGUGGAGCAUGUGGUUUAAUUCGAUGCAACGCGAAGAACCUUACCUAGGCUUGAAAUGCAGGUGACCGGGUGUGAAAGCACCCUUCCCUUCGGGGCGCCUGUACAGGUGCUGCAUGGCUGUCGU
rnacentral:rRNA from 1 species